UACGUAGGGGGCAAGCGUUGUCCGGAUUUAUUGGGCGUAAAGAGCGUGUAGGCGGCCAGACAGGUCCGUUGUGAAAACUCGAGGCUCAACCUCGAGAUGUCGAUGGAAACCGUCUGGCUAGAGUCCGGAAGAGGAGUGUGGAAUUCCUGGUGUAGCGGUGAAAUGCGCAGGAUAUCAGGAAGAACACCUAUGGCGAAGGCAGCACUCUGGGACGGUACUGACGCUGAGACGCGAAAGCGUGGGGAGCGAACAGG
rnacentral:rRNA from 1 species